rnacentral:misc_RNA from 1 species
AAAUAGAUAUAUCUUUUCCCUCCCUGCUCUCAUGAAUUGGACAUUAUAUUUAACAUGUGAACACAACUCUGGUGGCAGGGUUUGUGAAGUAAUAUUAUUAAUCGUUUUAUAUUGUGAUAAUUAGUAUGAUGAAAAUCUGUUAUAAUUGCAUUGAUGAAAUAAUGAUUUGUUUAAUGAAUCACAUACUCAACAAUGUUUAUUAUUUAUUGGAUAAAUGCAUAAGUUCAGACUUAUAUAUUAUCUAGAAGUGAAUGAACACAUUUGUUUUGUAAUAGGGGCAUCACUGAAAGAAGGAUGAAUUUCUUGGUGAUUGAUGGAGUAAUUUAAAGGAAGAAAUUGAGUUAUGUUCUCUGUAGAACUGCAUUUGUCAGAUUUGGGAUUGGGGUGUUGGAUACAGGCCUAUGUCUAACAAGCAACGGUCAUUUUUAUGUAAUUAUAUAUGAAGGACAUACCUAAUUAUUUGCCUCCAUUUUAGGAGUCUUCUGUGUUUAGCUAGAGCAUGUUAAUGUGGAGAGUUGGAAUAAUGAGUGAGAGAACGAUAAGACAAAAGGAAAUGAGCUAAAAAUGCCAUUAUAUAAAAGAAAAUAUGUGAUAUAGAUAAGGCACAUGUUUGUAAGAAAAUAUAGGAUGGCCUUAGUUGUAGGAACCUCCAAUGCUAGAUGGUACUUUUGCCUUGCAGUCACAAAGUCAUGGGGACGUCCAUUGAUUCCAUCAGCAGCUUGAAAUGUCUUUAAAGUUUUUAGUUGUUGAGAACAAAAUUUGUACCCAUCAAGCAUGAUAAUUUUAGAGAUUGAACAGAAGGCACUCUCAGCACUGCACUACUGAUACCUGUUUAUGGGUGGGGAACCUGCCUGCCCCACCCAGCAAAAAACAGGGGUUUGGGUUAUUGGCAGAUUUAGAAAAUUUUUUUCAGGUUCAAC